GGAAGUGAGGAGCGCCUCUGCCCGGCCGCCCAUCGUCUGGGAAGUGAGGAGCGCCUCUGCCCGGCCGCCCAUCGUCUGGGAAGUGAGGAGCGCCUCUGCCCGGCCGCCCAUCGUCUGGGAAGUGAGGAGCGCCUCUGCCCGGCCGCCCAUCGUCUGGGAUGUGAGGAGCGCCUCUGCCCGGCCGCCCAUCGUCUGGGAAGAAAUGGUACAGAUGGAGACACAGACUCAAAGAGGUGAUUGGUCCACAGCAAUGUGCUGGAAACAAAGGAUCCAACCCAGCCACUCCUCCGAAGCACAGAGCCUAAAUCUUGGAGGAGAGCCACUCAAGAGAGCUGACUGUCUCGCCUGGUCAACACAGAGAGACCCUAUCUCUACAAAAAAUACAAAAAUCAGCCAGCUGAGGUGGUGUGCACCUGUGGUUCCAGCUAUUUGGGAGGCUGAGGUGGGAGGAUUGCCUGAGCCUGAGAGGUUGAGGCUGCAGUGAGCUGUGAUCGUGCCACUGCAUUCCAGCCUGAGCUACAGAGUGAGACCCUGUCAAAAAAAAAAAAAAAAAAAAAAGCUGAUGGGCCCACAUUACACUGUAAAU